rnacentral:rRNA from 1 species
UACAGAGGUGGCAAGCGUUGUUCGGAAUUACUGGGCGUAAAGCGUGCGCAGGCGGCUUUGCAAGACAGAUGUGAAAUCCCCGGGCUUAACCUGGGAACUGCAUUUGUGACUGCAUGGCUGGAGUGCGGCAGAGGGGGAUGGAAUUCCGCGUGUAGCAGUGAAAUGCGUAGAUAUGCGGAGGAACACCGAUGGCGAAGGCAAUCCCCUGGGCCUGCACUGACGCUCAUGCACGAAAGCGUGGGGAGCAAACAGG